rnacentral:tRNA from 1 species
GAGCCGGUAGCUCAGUUGGUAGAGCACCGCCCUUUUAAGGCGAUUGUCGAGAGUUCGAUCCUCUCCCGGCUCACCA